CGCGCAGCGAUGGGAGAACCGGCGGAAUCGCCGGUGCCGAAGGAGCAACCGCCCCGGAAACUCUCAGGCCUCAGGACCGUCGCGGCCAG
rnacentral:ncRNA from 2 species